CGUUAGUAUCCCGAGCAAGAUCUGAAAGGAAAACUUGGAAGCUUAGAUAUAAAAUAGAUCAUCACGCUACAAAGGUUAUUUCAAAAAGCAGCUUCAUAUAUUCCAAAGAACCAAAAAAGAAGUUCCUGCCAUGUCACGGUAUUUGCUAUUUCUUUUUCUCCUGUCCAAACCCAAGUUCAAUGGAAAUGGACAAUAUCCAGCUAAUGGUCACAGUGACAACACUUGUGCCUUAAGAACUUACUGAUUGAAGUUGUGGUCAUCUGCUGAUAAGCCGGCGAGCGAGAAGCACUCAGACACAAAGGAACCCAUUGAAACGUGUAUAAUUAGGGAUGUUUUAACGCAGAUGAAAUUUUAAAAGGCCAGCUCACUGAUUGCUUUAAAAAUGUGUGGAAACGUGUGUAUUAUUGACCUGGUAAAUUUUCCUUCAAAUUGAAUGCAUACACCACCACCGACAACAACAACAAGCAGCUCUACAUUUAGAACUUAGUUUCUUGAAAACAGACCAUCUCAGACUUCCGGCUUUAUCAACACAUGGCAUGAGAGAAAUCCGAUCAAAAGAAGAAUAACAAAAUAAAAGACCCAACACCUAGCACAGUGAAUGAAUCCGGCCUAGGAGCCAGACAACUUGAAUUCUACUACGGUAUCUGUCACAAGACAGCCACGUGGCUUUGGAUAGAUUAAAAAUCCUAAAGUAGAGAGAGAAAAUAAAUACGGAGCCUAGACCAAGAUAUCAGCUCUCUCAAGCAUCUGUCUAAUCGGAUCCUUCCUUCAACACGUCAGGAACAGGAAGACAGAACAGGAACUCUCAGAGCAAAGGGCUGGAAGAGACUUUGCUGACUGUAUAGUCCACCACUUUAAUUUCCAAUGAAGGAAUCUCUGAGCUAAUCAAACAAUCUUCUUGAAGUCUUCAACCACCCUCAGUGCCAGACUAAAGCUACGAUCUCUCAGUGUUCGUUUCACAGCACCACGUCUCUGCCAUCAUCGGAGCUGAUAACCUCACUCAUCAUCCCCAAAUAUUUGUUUGGUAUCCAAUUUAUAUAUAGUCAUCCAGGAAAUCCCACAGACUAAAAUGAUCACAGUGUGCCAAUGUGACAAACCACUAAGGUGUGUCUUUCCUGCCCUAAAACUCAAAUUACUUUUUACUCACAUCAUUUGCUUAUGUCCACAGAAAUUGGCCAAAUGAUUUAAAUAUAUAUUCCACACUCAGAUUUCCCAGAAAAGAAAUCCUACAAAAACCACCAGCAUGAAAUGAAUGAGAAUGGGACGAGUACCUUCCCCAG
rnacentral:lncRNA from 1 species